GUUGAGAGAGGCAGCAUUGGAAGCACAAGCAUGUCCAGGGAUGACUUAAACAAGCUUCCUUGCAAAACAUGUGGCAACCACAAUCUCGAUCUGAAUUAGGGGAUGUCUCCUCCUUCACUUGGUAAUGGUUCCAAGGAGAAUGAGGGAUGCCUUCAGUUCCACUUUGA